GAUGAACGCUAGCUACAGGCUUAACACAUGCAAGUCGAGGGGAAACGAUGAGAGAGCUUGCUCUCUUAGUCGUCGACCGGCGCACGGGUGAGUAACGCGUAUCCAACCUGCCUCUGACCAAGGGAUAACCCGUCGAAAGUCGGACUAAUACCUUAUGCAGUCGUCGGAAGUCAUCUGAUGACGACGAAAGAUUUCAUCGGUGAGAUAUGGGGAUGCGUCUGAUUAGCUUGUUGGCGGGGUAACGGCCCACCAAGGCGACGAUCAGUAGGGGUUCUGAGAGGAAGGUCACCCACAUGGGAACUGAGACACGGUCCAAACGCCUACGGGAGGCAGCAGUGAGGAAUAUUGGUCAAUGGGCGUAAGCCUGAACCAGACAAGUAGCGUGCAGGAGGACGGACCUAUGGGUUGUAAACUGCUUUUAUGCGGGGAUAAAGUGAGGGACGUGUCCUUCAUUGCAGGUACCGCAUGAAUAAGGACCGGCUAAUUCCGUG
rnacentral:rRNA from 1 species